GACGAACGCUGGCGGCGUGCUUAACACAUGCAAGUCGAACGGAAAGGCCCUGCUUUUGUGGGGUGCUCGAGUGGCGAACGGGUGAGUAACACGUGAGUAACCUGCCCUUGACUUUGGGAUAACUUCAGGAAACUGGGGCUAAUACCGGAUAGGAGCUCCUGCUGCAUGGUGGGGGUUGGAAAGUUUCGGCGGUUGGGGAUGGACUGGCGGCUUAUUAGCUUGUUGGUGGGGUAGUGGCUUACCAAGGCUUUGACGGGUAGCCGGCCUGAGAGGGUGACCGGCCACAUUGGGACUGAGAUACGGCCCAGACUCCUACGGGAGGCAGCAGUGGGGAAUAUUGCACAAUGGGCGGAAGCCUGAUGCAGCAACGCCGCGUGCGGGAUGACGGCCUUCGGGUUGUAAACCGCUUUCGCCUGUGACGAAGCGUGAGUGACGGUAAUGGGUAAAGAAGCACCGGCUAACUACGUG
rnacentral:rRNA from 1 species